GUCGGACUUCCAUCAAAUUUAAUGCCCGCGAUUCUAACCUUAUCACUAUUUAUCACGAACUAUGAUGAUAAUAAUUGUUAUCAAAUAAUUAACAACGUAAUAUUUUUAUUUUUUCGUCUGCCGACGUUAAGUUUGAAUCACUCGGGAAUCGCGAUUAUAUGAAAUUUGAACAGAACUACAGUGGUACAGAGUUCUAUUCAUACAUAAUUUUAGAACAUAAUCACCAUGGAUAAGUGUAUUCUUUUUAGCAAAACAACCAAUGUAUCGCCUCGCCGCCACAUUACGUUAAUUUUCAUUUGUAAGUAGGUAUUAUUUUCAAAUUGCACUGUUUAUACUUCUUAAUAAUAUGGAGUCAGUCUAGUUUGCUAAUUUGUUCACAGAUAUAGAUUUCCAAAAAAUCAAUGAAAUAAAGACUAAAAAUCUUCGAAUUAAAUGAUUAUCCCAAUUUCUACCUGGCAUAGAAUCUGCGGCAAUCAUUUCUCAAUUAGUGAUUGUAAACAAUGCUCAGUAAAUUAGUAAACACGGUCAGAGGCUGUCUCAAAACAUAAUCCAAACCACUUGUCUGGGAUAGAGAAGUAAAAUUAAUUUUAGUUAUUUACGGCAACAUCGGUACUACUCUGAGCACGACUAGGAAAUCGCAUCUAAGAGAAAACUUUGUUUCUCCAACGAUGGGUUAGCAGAAAAUGAACAGACGAAUAAAGGGUUUCGAGGACUUACAGUUGAUGAUUUUGAUUAGCCCAGAAAAGCCUUACAUACUGAUUAAUGUCUAAUUCACACACACUUAUUUCAUAGAAUGGAUUAUACUUAUUAUUGUUUUCGAAAUUGAAAUAAUAUAUUAUGUACCUACCACAUACAAGGAACUAAGAAGUGGAGCCAGUGUAUUGACAAUUUUUCAGACGUUGACUUUCUUGAAGAUAAUUCUACAGACUCAGAUGAAGCCAUAUAAUAUUGGAGCGAAUUGUGAAACUUAAAGGUAAUACAAUUUUGCUGAGCAAGAAUUAAAUUUUAAUAAAGCAGAGAGCCUCAAAGAAACACAUAACUACUUUGGGCAUUGGUAUCUUUCUUAAAGGGAAAGUGCAUCUAGUUGGAUACGUUAAACAGGUCGUCAAACCCGUUCCCAUUUACAACGAGGAAAUACAAUCUUCAUUGUAAAAAAGAGUAUGCAAUUACCAAAAAGAUUCAGUGGUUGUUAUUAAAAUACUUCAACUAUCGACAAUGGACAUAAUUGAUGAAGACUUAUAUUAUAUUGUGAUAGAUAUAGAUUUCCAAAAAAUCAAUGAAAUAAAGACUAAAAAUCUUCGAAUUAAAUGAUUAUCCCAAUUUCUACCUGGCAUAGAAUCUGCGGCAAUCAUUUCUCAAUUAGUGAUUGUAAACAAUGCUCAGUAAAUUAGUAAACACGGUCAGAGGCUGUCUCAAAACAUAAUCCAAACCACUUGUCUGGGAUAGAGAAGUAAAAUAAAUUUUAGUUAUUUACGGCAACAUCGGUACUACUCUGAGCACGACUAGGAAAUCGCAUCUAAGAGAAAACUUUGUUUCUCCAACGAUGGGUUAGCAGAAAAUGAACAGACGAAUAAAGGGUUUCGAGGACUUACAGUUGAUGAUUUUGAUUAGCCCAGAAAAGCCUUACAUACUGAUUAAUGUCUAAUUCACACACACUUAUUUCAUAGAAUGGAUUAUACUUAUUAUUGUUUUCGAAAUUGAAAUAAUAUAUUAUGUACCUACCACAUACAAGGAACUAAGAAGUGGAGCCAGUGUAUUGACAAUUUUUCAGACGUUGACUUUCUUGAAGAUAAUUCUACAGACUCAGAUGAAGCCAUAUAAUAUUGGAGCGAAUUGUGAAACUUAAAGGUAAUACAAUUUUGCUGAGCAAGAAUUAAAUUUUAAUAAAGCAGAGAGCCUCAAAGAAACACAUAACUACUAUGGGCAUUGGUAUCUUUCUUAAAGGGAAAGUGCAUCUAGUUGGAUGCGUUAAACAGGUCGUCAAACCCGUUCCCAUUUACAACGAGGAAAUACAAUCUUCAUUGUAAAAAAGAGUAUGCAAUUACCAAAAAGAUUCAGUGGUUGUUAUUAAAAUACUUCAACUAUCGACAAUGGACAUAAUUGAUGAAGACUUAUAUUAUAUUGUGAUAGGUACCUAUUUCCUUUAAUUUGUGUACUUAUUUUUCCUAUGUUUCCCCCACCACCCAUCAGAAAGUAAUUAGUUACUUUAUUUAACCAAAAAAAAACUAUACCUAUACACUGUGCAGUUAUGUUUGUGAAUAAAAUUAUUUUGUCAAUGACCAAUUUAUGAAAACUCUAUUUUCAAAUUGUAUAACAAAAAAGAAAAGUAGGUAGGUUACGUUAGCUUUGUACCUGUUUAAAAUCAUUAUAAGUUAUACUAUCAUACUUUUCAUAUUUGUCGUAUUGAUAGUGUAUAUGUAUAUUUAAGUUUAGAAAUAUAUGACUAAUGUAGUCUAUGGACUUAAGUCUAAUAAAUUUCUACUUUUUAACUUAAUUUUCUCUGUGUUUAUUAACUCAAUCUAUUUUAAUAUGAUUAAAGCGCGAAUUCGUAUGAUUUCACAUAUUUAGUCUGGUUGAUGGUAUGAUAUGCUAAUAGUGAGCACAGAAUUAGUUUCAUGACGAUAACGAUUUACACUGUGAAUCUUUUGGGCCG